rnacentral:rRNA from 1 species
AUUGAACGCUGGCGGCAUGCCUUACACAUGCAAGUCGAACGGCAGCACGGGANCAAUCCUGGUGGCGAGUGGCGAACGGGUGAGUAAUAUAUCGGAACGUGCCCAGUCGUGGGGAUAACGUAGCGAAAGCUACGCUAAUACCGCAUACGAUCUAUGGAUGAAAGCGGGGGAUCGCAAGACCUCGCGCGAUUGGAGCGGCCGAUAUCAGAUUAGGUAGUUGGUGAGGUAAAGGCUCACUAAGCCGACGAUCUGUAGCUGGUCUGAGAGGACGACCAGCCACACUGGGACUGAGACACGGCCCAGACUCCUACGGGAGGCAGCAGUGGGGAAUUUUGGACAAUGGGCGCAAGCCUGAUCCAGCAAUGCCGCGUGCAGGAUGAA